GCUAAGGAGGAAAGUUCUUCAGCGAGUCUUAUAAAGCGGCACCAAAACGUGGUAUUUAUAGUGACAUAAUCAGCCCUAAUGGAGAUGGAAUUACCCCAUAAAGGCCCCAAGGAGCCCUCAGGGCCUCAGCGCCACUGCAGCAGACAAGGCUCCUGUACAGACUGGGUCCAGCAGACCUGGAUUCUUCCAUGUAACCCACUGUGUGGCCUUCGUGGAGCCAUGCGGGUGCA
rnacentral:lncRNA from 1 species